AUCGCUUCUCGGCCUUUUGGCUAAGAUCAAGUGUAAAAACUGGUCUGUUCAGAAGGUCCUGGUGUGUGGAGACAAUAGUCCCUCAGCCUUC